UAUUUCAGCUAGGCUGGCUGGCCAGCAAACCUCUAGGUCCUGUUGUGUUUGCCCCUUCACAACAGGGAUUACAGGAAUGUGCCACCACACCCAGUUUUCAUACGGGUGUAGGGAAUCUAAACUCGGGUCCUCACUUUUUCUUAGUACUUUCUAGACUGAGCCAUCUGCUCUGCCUCCAGUUUGUUCGACUUUAUUGUGAAGCAGACUUGCUUCCAGCGCAGAGCCCCCGACAAGGAUUCAGUGUCAUUGGCUUAAUGAGAAACCGAACCUAGAGAGUAAGAGUGCAAAAGCAGACCCGGGUAUGCAGAGGAAGAGAGAGGCCCGUGGAAAGGUGCACUGGCUGCUACUGGGUGCCUCGUGAAAGCAUCCAUAAUUGCCCAUAUCAUGGGCAAGAGGCAUGAUAUUUUCCAGCUUCCAGUUCCCAGUUCUCAGGCUGAGGUUGCCUUUGCUGGGAAAGAAAGCAGAGAACAAACUGAGGUAAGGGCUUUCAAGCUCCUGGUGAACUUGAAUCUGCAGAGAACCACGGCCGAGGCUGAAGUCUGGGUGUGCACAGGGCCUGUGGGAGCCUCCAGAAGCAUCAUGCAAGCUGAUGUCUGCUCAGAAGGUCCAUUGACUGCAAUGAGAAUCUACUUAGAGAUGAUUUGUGCUGGCAAGUUGCAUACAGACAGUGUACUCUGGAAACAGCAGAGCCCCACCUUGGUAUCUGGACCCCACCACAUAACACCCUGUACUGAGCAAUAGCUGUUGUGACCAGUCACCCUACUCUUUCUGCGGAAGG